rnacentral:rRNA from 1 species
UCUGGGAUUAGAUACCCUGUUAUUUAAAAUGUAAUCAAUUUAUUAAGGUAGUAAUAGUUAUGUUCUUGAAACUUAAAGAAUUUGGCGGUAUUUUAGUCUAUUCAGAGGAACCUGUUCUGUAAUCGAUAAUCCACGUUGGACCUUACUUAAAUUUGUUUAAUCAAUUUAUAUACCGUUGUUAUUAAAAUAUUUUUUAAAAAUAAUAAUAUUUAAUAAUUUUAAUAAAAAUUUAUAUCAAAUCAAGGUGUAGUUUAUAUUUAAGUAGAAAUGGGUUACAAUAAAUUUAUUUUUGGAUAUAAGUAUGAAAAUUUUUAUUGAAAUUGGAUUUGAUAGUAAAAUUGUAAAGAUUAAUAAUUUGAUUUUAGCUCUAAAAUAUGUACAAAUCGCCCG